GAUGAACGCUAGCGGCAGGCCUAACACAUGCAAGUCGAGGGGUAACAUAGAAAAGCUUGCUUUUCUGAUGACGACCGGCGCACGGGUGCGUAACGCGUAUACAACCUACCUUUUAGCGGGGAAUAGCCCAGGGAAACUUGGAUUAAUGCCCCAUAGUAUAUAAGCUUCUCCUGAAGUUUAUAUUAAACAUUUAUGGCUAUUAGAUGGGUAUGCGUCCUAUUAGUUAGUUGGUAAGGUAACGGCUUACCAAGGCAGCGAUAGGUAGGGGUCCUGAGAGGGAGAUCCCCACACUGGUACUGAGACACGGACCAGACUCCUACGGGAGGCAGCAGUGAGGAAUAUUGGACAAUGGGCGAGAGCCUGAUCCAGCCAUGCCGCGUGCAGGAAGACUGCCCUAUGGGUUGUAAACUGCAUUUACAGAGGAAGAACCACCCCCACGUGUGGGGGUUUGACGGUACUCUGCGAAUAAGGAUCGGCUAACUCCGUG
rnacentral:rRNA from 1 species